AACCUUCUCCUGGAUAAGCUAUUAGCUCGAGAUGCUCAUGGCAGCUUUCCCAGACCUCAAUCUGUACUUAUAGCUCUUUCCUGAACCACUUCCAAUUUUCCUUUUUUUUUUUUUUUUUUUCCCCUCCUCCUACCCCAAUGUCUCUUCUGAAAUGGGGACAGCAGAAUGCGACAAUCACUGGUCAGGUCUCAAAUGCCAUAGGUGAAGGAAAUGCCAUCUUCCUUCCCACACCGUCUUGUUUCGUGGACCCGAGGGGUGGUGGUGGGAAUCCUACCGUUGGCUGUGACUCCAAGCACGUCUUGGGAUUUGAGGCUCUCUGGGAGCAGCCAGUAUUCCAAGGCAGAUACUUCUCAGAAUUGAUUUAACCGAGUGACUUUCAACUGUUUCCAUUCUGGAAGAACUAAGAAAUUCUUUGUCCGUCCCCUGCCUGAGCCAUCCACGUCCCUGGAACAUUCUUGUUUAGUCUCCUGAAAUGUUAUUAACAACCCCAGCGACAGAGAACCAUAAAUCCCUGCAUCCCCCUGAACUUUACUGCGCUCCGAACUGUUUGGAUAUUCAGUAUCAACAAAUCAUCCCGAUAAAUAUGAUUUCUUUGAUGGCAUUUCAUCAAAAUAGUUUACGACUCUGACAUUUUGAGCGUGGAUUUACAGCAGCUGCAGCUUGUGCAAGACGGGCGGUCACCUUAUUGAAAUUCACCUAAGGAGAAGAAUGGAAAAAGAAAGUCACAGCAGCUCCUCCAAUGCUAAGUUUAAAGAGAUUCUUCUUCUUCUUUCCCACACUUUCUUGGAAACAGCAGGAGUUUGGGGAUCCGCAAGACAAACAUUGGCUUUGGCUCAUCCCAGUCAUGAUGAGGAUGAGAGCAGGCCUCCAGCUCCAAGUUCCCAAGCAGAUGCAGGGAGAGGUUUCCAGAUUCACUUAGCUCAGUGAUGGCCAUAGGUGGUUCACCACUUGUUUCUGUUGGGAAGUGGCUCAUCUGGUUUGUAUGCAUC
ensembl:lncRNA